rnacentral:rRNA from 1 species
AGGGCGCACGGUGGAUGCCUUGGCACUAGGAGCCGACGAAGGACGUGACAAACGACGAUAUGCCUUGGGUAGCUGUAAGUAAGCGAUGAUCCAGGGAUUUCCGAAUGGGGGAACCCAACAGGUAAUACCUGUUACCCACAUCUGUUAAGGAUGUGAGGAGGAAGACGCAGUGAACUGAAACAUCUAAGUAGCUGCAGGAAGAGAAAGCAAAAGCGAUUGCCUUAGUAGCGGCGAGCGAAACGGCAGAAGGGCAAACCGAAGAGUUUACUCUUCGGGGUUGUAGGACUGCAAUGUGGACUCAAAGAUUAUAGAAGAAUGAUUUGGGAAGAUCAGCCAAAGAGAGUAAUAGCCUCGUAUUUAAAAUAGUCUUUGUACCUAGCAGUAUCCUGAGUACGGCGGGACACGUGAAAUCCCGUCGGAAUCUGGGAGGACCAUCUCCCAACCCUAAAUACUCCCUAGUGACCGAUAGUGAACCAGUACCGUGAGGGAAAGGUGAAAAGCACCCCGGGAGGGGAGUGAAAUAGAACCUGAAACCGUGUGCCUACAACAAGUUCGAGCCCGUUAAUGGGUGAGAGCGUGCCUUUUGUAGAAUGAACCGGCGAGUUACGUUAUGAUGCGAGGUUAAGUUGAAGAGACGGAGCCGUAGGGAAACCGAGUCUGAAUAGGGCGCCUUAGUAUCAUGACGUAGACCCGAAACCAUGUGACCUACCCAUGAGCAGGUUGAAGGUGCGGUAAGACGCACUGGAGGACCGAACCAGGGCACGUUGAAAAGUGCUUGGAUGACUUGUGGGUAGCGGAGAAAUUCCAAACGAACUUGGAGAUAGCUGGUUCUCUCCGAAAUAGCUUUAGGGCUAGCGUCGACAUUAGAGAUUCUUGGAGGUAGAGCACUGUUUGGGUGAGGGGUCCAUCCCGGAUUACCAAUCUCAGAUAAACUCCGAAUGCCAAUGAAUUAUGGUCGGCAGUCAGACUGCGAGUGCUAAGAUCCGUAGUCGAAAGGGAAACAGCCCAGACCACCAGCUAAGGUCCCAAAAUAAUUGUUAAGUGGAAAAGGAUGUGGGGUUGCACAGACAACUAGGAUGUUAGCUUAGAAGCAGCUAUUCAUUCAAAGAGUGCGUAAUAGCUCACUAGUCGAGUGACCCUGCGCCGAAAAUGUACCGGGGCUAAAACAAUUUACCGAAGCUGUGGAUACCUUUAUAGGUAUGGUAGGAGAGCGUUCUAUGUGUGAUGAAGGUAUACCGUGAGGAGUGCUGGAACGCAUAGAAGUGAGAAUGCCGGUAUGAGUAGCGAAAGACAGGUGAGAAUCCUGUCCACCGUAAGACUAAGGUUUCCAGGGGAAGGCUCGUCCGCCCUGGGUUAGUCGGGACCUAAGGAGAGACCGAAAGGUGUAUCCGAUGGACAACAGGUUGAUAUUCCUGUACUAGAGUAUGUAGUGAUGGAGGGACGCAGUAGGCUAACUAAAGCAGACGAUUGGAAGAGUCUGUCUAAGCAGUGAGGUGUGAAUUGAGUCAAAUGCUUAAUUCUAUAACAUUGAGCUGUGAUGGGGAGCGAAGUUUAGUAGCGAAGUUAGUGACGUCACACUGCCAAGAAAAGCUUCUAGCGUUUAAACAUACUCUACCCGUACCGCAAACCGACACAGGUAGUCGAGGCGAGUAGCCUCAGGUGAGCGAGAGAACUCUCGUUAAGGAACUCGGCAAAAUGACCCCGUAACGUCGGGAGAAGGGGUGCUGACUUUAAGUCAGCCGCAGUGAAUAGGCCCAAGCAACUGUUUAUCAAAAACACAGCUCUCUGCUAAAUCGUAAGAUGAUGUAUAGGGGGUGACGCCUGCCCGGUGCUGGAAGGUUAAGAGGAGUGCUUAGCGUAAGCGAAGGUAUGAAUUGAAGCCCCAGUAAACGGCGGCCGUAACUAUAACGGUCCUAAGGUAGCGAAAUUCCUUGUCGGGUAAGUUCCGACCCGCACGAAAGGCGUAAUGAUUUGGGCACUGUCUCAACGAGAGACUCGGUGAAAUUUUAGUACCUGUGAAGAUGCAGGUUACCCGCGACAGGACGGAAAGACCCCAUGGAGCUUUACUGCAGUUUGAUAUUGAGUGUCUGUACCACAUGUACAGGAUAGGUAGGAGUCUAAGAGAUCGGGACGCCAGUUUCGAAGGAGACGCUGUUGGGAUACUACCCUUGUGUUAUGGCCACUCUAACCCAGAUAGGUGAUCCCUAUCGGAGACAGUGUCUGACGGGCAGUUUGACUGGGGCGGUCGCCUCCUAAAAGGUAACGGAGGCGCCCAAAGGUUCCCUCAGAAUGGUUGGAAAUCAUUCGCAGAGUGUAAAGGUAUAAGG